rnacentral:rRNA from 1 species
UACGGGGGGGGCAAGCGUUGUUCGGAAUUACUGGGCGUAAAGGGCUCGUAGGCGGCCAACUAAGUCGGAUGUGAAAUCCCCAGGCUUAACCUGGGAAUUGCAUCCGAUACUGGAUGGCUUGAAUCCGGGAGAGGGAUGCGGAAUUCCAGGUGUAGCGGUGAAAUGCGUAGAUAUCAAGAGGAACACCUGAGGUGAAGACGGGUUGCUGGGCUGACACUGACGCUGAGGCGCGAAAGCGUGGGGAGCAAACAGG